UUAAGCGACUAAGCGUACACGGUGGAUGCCCUGGCAGUCAGAGGCGAUGAAGGACGUGCUAAUCUGCGAAAAGCGUCGGUAAGGUGAUAUGAACCGUUAUAGCCGGCGAUGUCCGAAUGGGGAAACCCAGUGCAAUUCGUUGCACUAUCGUUAACUGAAUACAUAGGUUAACGAGGCGAACCGGGGGAACUGAAACAUCUAAGUACCCCGAGGAAAAGAAAUCAACCGAGAUUCCCCCAGUAGCGGCGAGCGAACGGGGAGCAGCCCAGAGUCUGAAUCAGCUUGUGUGUUAGUGGAACGGUCUGGAAAGUCCGACGGUACAGGGUGAUAGUCCCGUACACCAAAAUGCACAGGUUGUGAACUCGAAGAGUAGGGCGGGACACGUGGUAUCCUGUCUGAAUAUGGGGGGACCAUCCUCCAAGGCUAAAUACUCCUGACUGACCGAUAGUGAACCAGUACCGUGAGGGAAAGGCGAAAAGAACCCCGGCGAGGGGAGUGAAAAAGAACCUGAAACCGUGUACGUACAAGCAGUGGGAGCACCUUCGGGUGUGACUGCGUACCUUUUGUAUAAUGGGUCAGCGACUUAUAUUCUGUAGCAAGGUUAACCGUAUAGGGGAGCCGCAGGGAAACCGAGUCUUAACUGGGCGUUAAGUUGCAGGGUAUAGACCCGAAACCCGGUGAUCUAGCCAUGGGCAGGUUGAAGGUUGGGUAACACUAACUGGAGGACCGAACCGACUAAUGUUGAAAAAUUAGCGGAUGACUUGUGGCUGGGGGUGAAAGGCCAAUCAAACCGGGAGAUAGCUGGUUCUCCCCGAAAGCUAUUUAGGUAGCGCCUCGUGAACUCAUCUUCGGGGGUAGAGCACUGUUUCGGCUAGGGGGUCAUCCCGACUUACCAACCCGAUGCAAACUACGAAUACCGAAGAAUGUUAUCACGGGAGACACACGGCGGGUGCUAACGUCCGUCGUGAAGAGGGAAACAACCCAGACCGCCAGCUAAGGUCCCAAAGUCAUGGUUAAGUGGGAAACGAUGUGGGAAGGCACAGACAGCCAGGAUGUUGGCUUAGAAGCAGCCAUCAUUUAAAGAAAGCGUAAUAGCUCACUGGUCGAGUCGGCCUGCGCGGAAGAUGUAACGGGGCUAAACCAUGCACCGAAGCUGCGGCAGCGACACUAUGUGUUGUUGGGUAGGGGAGCGUUCUGUAAGCCUGCGAAGGUGUGCUGUGAGGCAUGCUGGAGGUAUCAGAAGUGCGAAUGCUGACAUAAGUAACGAUAAAGCGGGUGAAAAGCCCGCUCGCCGGAAGACCAAGGGUUCCUGUCCAACGUUAAUCGGGGCAGGGUGAGUCGACCCCUAAGGCGAGGCCGAAAGGCGUAGUCGAUGGGAAACAGGUUAAUAUUCCUGUACUUGGUGUUACUGCGAAGGGGGGACGGAGAAGGCUAUGUUAGCCGGGCGACGGUUGUCCCGGUUUAAGCAUGUAGGCUGAUUGUCCAGGCAAAUCCGGAUAAUCAAGGCUGAGGUGUGAUGACGAGGCACUACGGUGCUGAAGUAACAAAUGCCCUGCUUCCAGGAAAAGCCUCUAAGCAUCAGGUAACAUCAAAUCGUACCCCAAACCGACACAGGUGGUCAGGUAGAGAAUACCAAGGCGCUUGAGAGAACUCGGGUGAAGGAACUAGGCAAAAUGGUGCCGUAACUUCGGGAGAAGGCACGCUGGUGUGUAGGUGAAGUCCCUGCGGAUGGAGCUGAGACCAGUCGAAGAUACCAGCUGGCUGCAACUGUUUAUUAAAAACACAGCACUGUGCAAACACGAAAGUGGACGUAUACGGUGUGACGCCUGCCCGGUGCCGGAAGGUUAAUUGAUGGGGUUAUCCGUAAGGAGAAGCUCUUGAUCGAAGCCCCGGUAAACGGCGGCCGUAACUAUAACGGUCCUAAGGUAGCGAAAUUCCUUGUCGGGUAAGUUCCGACCUGCACGAAUGGCGUAAUGAUGGCCAGGCUGUCUCCACCCGAGACUCAGUGAAAUUGAACUCGCUGUGAAGAUGCAGUGUACCCGCGGCAAGACGGAAAGACCCCGUGAACCUUUACUAUAGCUUGACACUGAACAUUGAGCCUUGAUGUGUAGGAUAGGUGGGAGGCUUUGAAGCGUGGACGCCAGUCUGCGUGGAGCCAACCUUGAAAUACCACCCUUUAAUGUUUGAUGUUCUAACGUUGGCCCCUUACCGGGGUUGCGGACAGUGUCUGGUGGGUAGUUUGACUGGGGCGGUCUCCUCCCAAAGCGUAACGGAGGAGCACGAAGGUUAGCUAAUCCUGGUCGGACAUCAGGAGGUUAGUGCAAUGGCAUAAGCUAGCUUGACUGCGAGCGUGACGGCGCGAGCAGGUGCGAAAGCAGGUCAUAGUGAUCCGGUGGUUCUGAAUGGAAGGGCCAUCGCUCAACGGAUAAAAGGUACUCCGGGGAUAACAGGCUGAUACCGCCCAAGAGUUCAUAUCGACGGCGGUGUUUGGCACCUCGAUGUCGGCUCAUCACAUCCUGGGGCUGAAGUAGGUCCCAAGGGUAUGGCUGUUCGCCAUUUAAAGUGGUACGCGAGCUGGGUUUAGAACGUCGUGAGACAGUUCGGUCCCUAUCUGCCGUGGGCGCUGGAGAAUUGAGGGGGGCUGCUCCUAGUACGAGAGGACCGGAGUGGACGCAUCACUGGUGUUCGGGUUGUCAUGCCAAUGGCACUGCCCGGUAGCUAAAUGCGGAAGAGAUAAGUGCUGAAAGCAUCUAAGCACGAAACUUGCCCCGAGAUGAGUUCUCCCUGAGACUUUAAGUCUCCUGAAGGAACGUUGAAGACGACGACGUUGAUAGGCCGGGUGUGUAAGCGCAGCGAUGCGUUGAGCUAACCGGUACUAAUGAACCGUGAGGCUUAACCU
rnacentral:rRNA from 1 species